UCGAGGAUCUUCGGCAAUGGGCGCAAGCCUGACCGAGCGACGCCGCGUGAAGGAUGAAGGCCUUCGGGUUGUAAACUUCUGUCGAGGGGGAUCAAGGGCAACUUGAGUGAUCCCUGGAGGAAGCACGGGCUAAGUUCGUGCCAGCAGCCGCGGUAAGACGAACCGUGCGAACGUUGUUCGGAAUCACUGGGCAUAAAGGGCGCGUAGGCGGCUUAUCAAGUCAGGGGUGAAAUCCGGCAGCUCAACUGUCGAAGUGCCUUUGAUACUGAUGAGCUCGAGGGAGGUAGGGGUAUGCGGAACUUCCGGUGGAGCGGUGAAAUGCGUUGAUAUCGGAAGGAACGCCGGUGGCGAAAGCGGCGUACUGGACCUCUUCUGACGCUGAGGCGCGAAAGCUAGGGGAGCAAACGGGAUUAGAUACCCCUGUAGUCC
rnacentral:rRNA from 1 species